rnacentral:rRNA from 1 species
UGACGCUGGCGGCAGGCUUAACACAUGCAAGUCGAGCGGGGAAAAGUAGCUUGCUACUUAACUUAGCGGCGGACGGGUGAGUAAUACUUAGGAAUCUGCCUAUUAGUGGGGGACAACAUUUCGAAAGGAAUGCUAAUACCGCAUACGUCCUACGGGAGAAAGCAGGGGAUCACUUGUGACCUUGCGCUAAUAGAUGAGCCUAAGUCGGAUUAGCUAGUUGGUGGGGUAAGGGCCUACCAAGGCGACGAUCUGUAGCGGGUCUGAGAGGAUGAUCCGCCACACUGGGACUGAGACACGGCCCAGACUCCUACGGGAGGCAGCAGUGGGGAAUAUUGGACAAUGGGGGGAACCCUGAUCCAGCCAUGCCGCGUGUGUGAAGAAGGCCUUUUGGUUGUAAAGCACUUUAAGCGAGGAGGAGGCUACUCUAGUUAAUACCUAGAGAUAGUGGACGUUACUCGCAGAAUAAGCACCGGCUAACUCUGUGCCAGCAGCCGCGGUAAUACAGAGGGUGCGAGCGUUAAUCGGAUUUACU